AUGGAUUCCGCGAGAAGUUGGUUCCAGAAGUUCCAGCCGCGGGACAAGUCCAAGAGCCCGGCGGUGCCUGCCAGCCAUGGGAAGGAUCCCGGGAAGCCCCCCGUCGACGACGCGCCUUCUAGCGCGACCAAGCAGAAGGUCGCUGCGGCAAAACAGUACAUUGAGAACCACUACAAGACUCAGAUGAAGUCCUUGCAAGAUAGGAAAGAGAGGCGCUGGAUGCUGGAGAGGAAAUUACAGGAUGCUGAAGUUCCUGCAGAAGAGCAGAACAACAUUCUAAAACAUUUGGAGAAAAAGGAGACUGAAUAUAUGCGUUUGCAAAGACACAAGAUGGGGGUUGAAGAUUUUGAACUUUUGACAAUUAUUGGAAGAGGUGCAUUUGGAGAGGUGCGUCUUUGUAGAGAGAAGACCUCUAAAAGUGUAUAUGCAAUGAAAAAGCUUAAGAAAUCUGAAAUGCUUCGUAGGGGCCAGGUGGAACACGUCAAAGCCGAAAGAAACCUCCUUGCAGAAGUCGAUAGUGCGUACAUAGUAAAGCUUUACUAUUCUUUUCAAGAUGAUGAGUUCUUGUAUCUCAUCAUGGAGUACCUUCCUGGUGGUGACAUGAUGACUUUGCUCAUGCGCAAGGACACUCUGACAGAAGAUGAAGCCAAAUUUUACAUCGCAGAAACUGUACUAGCAAUAGAGUCCAUUCACAAGCACAAUUACAUUCACAGGGAUAUCAAGCCAGAUAAUUUAUUGUUAGAUCUCAGUGGUCACUUGAAGCUUUCUGACUUUGGAUUGUGCAAACCUUUGGAUAGCAGUAAUUUUCCAAAUUUGAAUGAACCGGAUUAUACACCUGGAAAAGGUGCUAAACCUUUACCCGAUAACACCAGUCGAUUAACUAACUCUUCUGCACCGAAGCGUACGCAGCAGGAGCAGCUGUCACAUUGGCAAAAGAACCGUCGGAUGUUGGCGUAUUCUACAGUUGGUACUCCUGAUUACAUUGCUCCAGAGGUUCUAUUGAAGAAAGGAUAUGGAAUGGAGUGUGACUGGUGGUCCCUUGGUGCUAUCAUGUAUGAAAUGCUAGUUGGUUAUCCCCCAUUUUAUUCGGAGGAUCCAAUGUCGACCUGCAGAAAGAUUGUGAACUGGAGAAGUCACCUGAAAUUUCCUGAAGAGGCAAAGCUUUCUUCUGAAACUAAGGAUCUCAUUAGCAAACUUCUCUGUAAUGUUGAGCAGAGACUUGGAACAAAAGGAGCCCAUGAAAUAAAAGCACAUACAUGGUUUAGAGGUGUCCAAUGGGAAAAGUUGUAUCAGAUGAAAGCUGCUUUCAUACCAGAAGUUAAUGGCGAGUUGGAUACUCAGAACUUUGAGAAAUUUGAGGAGACUGGAGCACAAGUUCAGAGUUCAUCUAAGGCGGGUCCAUGGAGAAAGAUGCUUCCAUCCAAGGAUGCAAAUUUUGUUGGAUACACGUACAAGAACUUUGAAAUUGUGAAUGACGAUGAAGUUGCCGGGAUUGCCGAGCUGAAGAAAAAGAGUUCCAAAUCAAAACGGCCAACCAUCAAGACAUUGUUUGAGAGCAUGGAUGAAGAUGAACCUGUGCACGGCGGUUUCUUAAAUAUGUUGCCCCAUAAGGAGGGACAACCUUCUUCUCACUCAAGCGCCCCACCAGAACAAUACCAACCUCGACGUAAAUAG
rnacentral:rRNA from 1 species